rnacentral:rRNA from 1 species
CUGCUGCCUUCCGUAGGAGUCUGGGCCGUAUCUCAGUCCCAAUGUGGCCGGUCAACCUCUCAGUCCGGCUACUGAUCGUCGCCUAGGUGGGCCGUUACCCCGCCUACCAGCUAAUCAGACGCGAGGCCAUCUUCCAGCGAUAAAUCUUUGACAUGUCCGUGAUGCCACGGUCAUGUGUCAUGCGGUAUUAGCAGUCGUUUCCAACUGUUGUCCCCCUCUGGAAGGCAGGUUCCUCACGCGUUACU